GCGGCGGACGGGUGAGUAACACGUGGGCAACCUGCCCUGCAGACUGGGAUAACUUCGGGAAACCGGAGCUAAUACCGGAUAACACCGAAAACCGCAUGGUUUUUGGUUGAAAGGCGGCUUUUAGCUGUCACUGCAGGAUGGGCCCGCGGCGCAUUAGCUAGUUGGUGAGGUAACGGCUCACCAAGGCGACGAUGCGUAGCCGACCUGAGAGGGUGACCGGCCACACUGGGACUGAGACACGGCCCAGACUCCUACGGGAGGCAGCAGUAGGGAAUCUUCCGCAAUGGACGAAAGUCUGACGGAGCAACGCCGCGUGAGCGAAGAAGGUCUUCGGAUCGUAAAGCUCUGUUGUCAGGGAAGAACAAGUACCGUUCGAACAGGGCGGUACCUUGACGGUACCUGACAAGGAAGCCACGGCUAACUACUUGCCACCACCCGCGGUAAUAC
rnacentral:rRNA from 5 species